CGCACCAGGAGACGCGGCUGAAGGUGUCCUGGUGUGCGUGGGCUCGGAAGGAGGGUGCAGGAGUGCUCGGCUUUCACCGGGGUCUCCGGGAGGGCAGGUGUUUUCUGAGUGGCCGAGGAGGCGCCAAGUGGUUGAGUGACCUGUCCAGGGUGUCACAGAGCGACCCACUCCGGGCCACGGGGUCUGGGGCUCCCGGCUUGCCUGGUGAGGGGCUUCCGUGUAGGCCGAGGGGGUUCUCGCUGGUGCAGAGCAGGAGAUGGGCAGGGGAGACGCGUGGACCCACUCGUGGAACGUCAUGGUUUGCAGGUGGCAAAUGUCCGUCUCCCUGAUGAACGGGCGCUUCUGGACGCGGGGACCUUAUCCACUGUAGGCCCUUGGAGAGGUCGGGCGUCGAGGAGAGGAGCCCCGGGAUCCUUGCCGAGGGUGAGGGCCGGCCGGCCCAGGAAGUGGGGAGGGCCAAGCUGGAGGGUCCCGGGUCGAGGAAGAAGGAGCGGGGAUGGGCUGGGUCACAUGCUGCGGAGUGGACGAAUAAUGGGAGACUGGACCGUACCCUGACCAGAACCCUGUGCGGGAGAGGUGGGGAAGGAGCAAGAAAUGGAGGCUGGGAGGGGCUGUGGGGGCCUGAGCUGGAAAGAGUCAGCCCGACUGGGGGUGUCCUGCGGUACGUGCUGUGGAGAGGGGCUUCGCGGAAUCGGGCCCCUAACGGGUGGGACCCCGAGGCCGCGGGUGGGGGAUGGUGGGGAAGAGGUUUUCCAGGAGAGAGUCCCUGGCUGAGUGAGCACUGUCGAGCACACGCGAGGCCGUGGGUGGGGAGGCAGCAAGGAGGUGAAGGCGGGGGUCCCAGUGGGCGGGAGAGGCUUGCUGUCGGUACUGGGAGGUGGGGUGUUUCCUAGACCCUGCAGGGGCUGAGGCAGGGUUGACAUCGUGAGAAGGAGACAGGAGAGGGUGGAAGGGUGUCCUGUGCCCGCUGUUGCUCACAGGGGAGAGGAGGGGCUGCUGCAGGAGGCCCUCCCCUAGGGUCGGCAGGGGGAUGGAGGAGGAGCUGCCCGGUGGGGACUCAGGAAGCAGCACAGCCCACAGCUAGGGCCAGGGGCUGAGGGGCAGGACUGGACCCUGGGGGCAGGGUGAGGGGUUCUGGGGUCAGCCCAAAAUUGGCCCACAGGCCCAGCCUGUCCGUCACUCCUGAACAAAUCUGCUUCUCUGGAGGAGCAGAAGGAGAGUUGGGUGCGGGAUAGAGGUGAGAAGAGUGCUUGGACACACAGCCUGGUACACAGCAGGGGCUAUGCAGUUCUGGGUCACUUGACAGCCACUCCAGACGAGGCCGCAAGCACUGGACAUGGGGUUUUCCAGCCUUCUGGGGUGGAGCCAUCUUUCUUAGGCCAGGAUUAGUCCCUCCCCACACAGUGCCUCUGCUUGUGCUAGUGGCCUGGUGACCUCCCUUAUGCCAUCCGACGUCACCCCAACCUGCUGUUCAAACUUUAUUGUUAGAAAUUAUUUAUUUCCGGCCGGGUGCGGUGGCUCAUGCCUGUAAUCCCAGCACUUUGGGAGGCCGAGGCAGGCGGAUCACCUGAGGUCAGGAGUUCCAGACUAGCCUGAUCAAUAUGGACAAACCCCGUCUAUACUAAAAAUACAAAAGUUAGCUGGGUAUGGUGGCAGGUACCUGUAAUCCCAGCUACUCGGGAGGCUCAGGCAGGAGAAUCACUGAAACCCAGGAGGUGGAGGUUGUGGUGAGCUGAGAUUGUGCCAUUGCACUCCAGCUUGGGAAACAAGCGCAAAACUGUGCCUCAAAAAAAAAGUUAUUUCCUUCUGAAAUUGUUCUUCAAAUGUUUCUUGUCACAUACAUGCAGCAGUAAUUUGGUAGAAACAUGAGAAAUUGUGAUCCUCUGUCUUGCUCAGCUUGGCUCCCCUCCCCAACCAGCAUUAUCUGCCCGCACCCCCAAUCCCCAACAACUGAUGUGUCCUUAUCUCCCUGCCCCCUACCGCGCCCCCGUAGCAUAAUUGUAUGCCACAUAUGGGCACACCAUCACAUAUGGCUAAAAUGGGAUCACUCCGUAAUGAAUGAAUAUAUAUAUAUAUAUAUUUUUUUUUUUUGAGAUGGAGUCUCGCUCUUGUUGCCCAGGCUGGAGUGCAAUGGCGUGAUCGGGGCUCACUGCAACCUCCGCCUCCCGGGUUCAAGCGAUUCUCCUAUCUCAGCCUCCCGAGUAGCUGGGACUAUAGGCGCACACCACCAUGCCCAGCUAAUUUUUGUAUUUUUUAGUAGAGACGGUGUUUCACCAUAUUGGUCAGGCUGGUCUUGAACUUCUGACCUUAGGUGAUCCACCUGCCUUGGCCUCCCAAAGUGCUGGGAUUACAGGCAUAAGCUACCGUGCCUGGCCAAUGCUAGGCACUUUUUAUGGGCCAGGGACUGAUCUAAGUACUUUUCAUGCACACUGCUUUUCUUUUCUUUUUUUCUGAGAUGGAGUCUCACUCUGUUGCCCAGGCUGGAGUGCAGUGGCGCGAUCUCGACUCACUGCAACUUCUGCCCACAGAGUUCUAGCGAUUCUCCUGCCUCAACCUCCCGAGUAGCUGGGAUUACAGGCGCCCGCCACCGCACCCAGCUAAUUUUUUGUAUUUUUAGUGGAGACGGGGUUUCACCAUCUUGGGCAGGCUGGUCUUGAACUCCUGACCUCGUGAUCCACCCGCCUUGGCCUCCCAAAGUGCUGGGAUUACAGGUGUGAGCCACCAUGACCCACCUCAUGCACGCUGCUUUUCUAAUUUAGUGUCUUAUAAUUGUGGAGCUAUGUCUUGUGAAAAGGUAUUUCCAACAAGAUUCUCUGAGAUAGUUUUCCCAUGUGCUUUCAGUGCCUCAGGGGUGGGGUAGUCCAUAGGAGCCCCUGUUACCCAUUCAGGAGUGGGUGAGGGGAGACCCCAGGGACCAAUGCCAGCAGGAAGAGGUGGGGUGGUUGGGAGGAUGGAGAUUGCACAUGCUUGGGGACAGCUUGGAGGUGCGUGUUAGAAUUUUUCUGAGAGGGGUUAAGGUGCUGUUUUGUGAAGCACAACGAGUUAGUGAGUGCUAAAUCUCCAUGACCCCUGCCGUCUAUAUGGCUUGGAUACGUCAUGUCAACCUGACAUAAAGCCAUGGGUGAACAUUCUCUGGGACCCCACCUGUGUGUGGGGAAAAGCAAGAGAGAUCAGAUUGUUACUGUGUCUGUAUAGAAAGAAGUAGACAUAGGAGACUCCAUUUUGUUCUGUACUAAGAAAAAUUCUUCUGCCUUGAGAUUCUGUUAAUCUAUGACCUUAUCCCCAACCCCGUGCUCUCUGAAACAUGCGCUGUGUCAACUCAGGGUGAAAUGGAUUAAGGGUUGUGCAGGAUGUGCUUUGUUAAACAAAUGCUUGAAGGCAGCAUGCUCCUUAAGAGUCAUCACCACUCCCUAAUCUCAAGUACCCAGGG
rnacentral:lncRNA from 10 species